GCGAAGAACCUUACCGGGUCUUGACAUCGAGUGACGGCUGUAGAGAUACAGCUUUCUCUUCGGAGACACGAAGACAGGUGGUGCAUGGUUGUCGUCAGCUCGUGUCGUGAGAUGUUGGGUUAAGUCCCGCAACGAGCGCAACCCUUAUGAUUAGUUGCUACGCAAGAGCACUCUAAUCAGACUGCCGUUGACAAAACGGAGGAAGGUGGGGAUGACGUCAAAUCAUCAUGCCCUUUAUGACCCGGGCCUCACACGUACUACAAUGGCGUUGAACAAAGAGAAGCAAAACCGCGAGGUGGAGCAAAUCUCGAAAAAACGUCUCAGUUCAGAUUGCAGUCUGCAACUCGACUGCAUGAAGUCGGAAUCGCUAGUAAACGCAGAUCAGCACGCUGCGUUGAAUACGUUCCCGGGUCUUGUACACACCGA
rnacentral:rRNA from 1 species